UAAUGCAUCAUCGACCUGUUACAACGUCAACAUCAUCUGGGUACGAGCGGCCGUAGGUCACAAGGGGGCGUGGAACUGUUGCAGACCAUUUGUGACAGAGCAUAAUCCAGCGACUUUGCCCAGGUGCCGUGACCAGGCCUCAAAGGCAGGGCCUGGGCGAAGAGGUAUCCCCGACGGCCAAGACAAGGCCACGGUGGUGAAGACUGUGGUGAGACAGAGCUGACUCCAGCAAAUUUGACCAGCCAGUGCAAAUGUGUCCCUUGAUCAACUAAACUGGGUGAAUGUAAAAUCAUGGGGAGCCUUGAAGCCU